AGUGAACGCUGGCGGCAGGCCUAAUACAUGCAAGUCGAACGGCAGCACAGCAGAGCUUGCUCUGUGGGUGGCGAGUGGCGGACGGGUGAGGAAUACAUGGGAAUCUGCCCAGUCGUGGGGGAUAACGUAUGGAAACGUACGCUAAUACCGCAUGCGCCCUUUGGGGGAAAGCCGGGGACCUUCGGGCCUGGCGCGAUUGGAUGAGCCCAUGUUCGAUUAGCUAGUUGGCGGGGUAAAGGCCCACCAAGGCGACGAUCGAUAGCUGGUCUGAGAGGAUGAUCAGCCACACUGGGACUGAGACACGGCCCAGACUCCUACGGGAGGCAGCAGUAGGGAAUAUUGGACAAUGGGCGCAAGCCUGAUCCAGCCAUGCCGCGCGAGUGAAGAAGGCCCUCGGGUUGUAAAGCUCUUUUGUCCGGAAAGAAAAGCAUUCGGUUAAUACCCGGGUGUUCUGACGGUACCGGAAGAAUAAGCACCGGCUAACUUCGUG
rnacentral:rRNA from 1 species